AAUUCGUGGGUAUAUCGCUGGAGAUUUUUGGUGCUAGCAUUAACUCGAGGUAAACAUGAUUUAUUUAUUUGUAGAAAUAAAUUUAUUGUUGGAAAAAUAUGAUUAAUAUGAUUAAUUCGAAUGUGUUGGAAAAAUAUUAAUUUUUUUUUUUUUAAUUUAUUGUUUUGUUUUGAUUUUUUUUUUUUUUUUUUAUCAAAACAAUAAAUUAAUUAAUUAAAAAUAUUAAUUUAUUGUUUUGAUUUUGAGUGUAUCAGGGUUUCCAAAUUUCCAAUUUAUGGUGUACUGUGUGAAAGGUUUCCCUCUUGCUGCAACCUUUGAGAGAGAUUUUUGGUUCUAGUAAUCGUAUACUAAUUUCAGAUUAGUAAGUUAUUUGCUUAAAUUUUAAUUAAUUGUUUUUUAGAAUUACAUAAAUUAUUUGUUUGAU
rnacentral:lncRNA from 1 species